AGGCGGCACUGACCCAACACAAAGGCGGGGAGCGGAGCGGACCACAGCCCCGGGGCCGCAGAUGUAUUCUGCCCUCUUUUGAUCUUGCUGUUUGAGGAAGGCAUUUCUGAAUCUAUGGAAUUUAUGCGGAAUCAAUCAUCGUAUGAAAUUUAGAACUUGGUCCAAGCCUGGCUCAACCCAGAGGUGUGUUGCGGAUGCUACAAUCGAAGAACGGAG